CCUGACUGCUAUCGGAUUGAUACUAAGCCAUGCGAGUCAUUGUAGUAAUACAAGGCAGACGGCUCAGUAACGCGUAGUCAACCUACCCUAUGGACGGGAAUAACCUCGGGAAACUGAGUAUAAUGCCCGAUAGAACACUAUACCUGGAAUGGUUUGUGUUCCAAAUGAAUGUCGCCGUAGGAUGGGACUGCGGCCUAUCAGUUUGUUGGUGAGGUAAUGGCCCACCAAGACUAUUACAGGUACGGGCUCUGAGAGGAGUAGCCCGGAGAUGGGUACUGAGACACGGACCCAGGCCCUAUGGGGCGCAGCAGGCGAGAAAACUUUGCAAUGUGCGAAAGCACGACAAGGUUAAUCCGAGUGGUUUGUGCUAAACGAACCUUUUGACAGUCCUAGAAACACUGUUGAAUAAGGGGUGGGCAAGUUCUGGUGUCAGCCGCCGCGGUAAAACCAGCACCUCAAGUGGUCAGGAUGAUUAUUGGGCCUAAAGCAUCCGUAGCCGGCUCUGUAAGUUUUCGGUUAAAUCUGUACGCUCAACGUACAGGCUGCCGGGAAUACUGCAGAGCUAGGGAGUGGGAGAGGUAGACGGUACUCGGUAGGAAGGGGUAAAAUCCUUUGAUCUAUUGAUGACCACCUGUGGCGAAAGCGGUCUACCAGAACACGUCCGACGGUGAGGGAUGAAAGCUGGGGGAGCAAACCGGAUUAGAUACCCGGGUAGUCCCAGCUGUAACUAUGCAAACUCAGUGAUGCAU
rnacentral:rRNA from 1 species